GCCACUCAGCCAGUGUGCAGGAAGAGACAGUCAAGAGCACAUCUGAUGAAGCUAAAGAAACAAUAGACAGAGGCACUAUUGUGACUGCACUCACAGCCUUUGAUUCAAACAAGUUAGAAACACCACUUUCUCACUUUCCCUUGCCAGGCACCCAGCACAGCGGGAGUCCCAGUCAUGCUGCAGACUGGAUCCGUAUGCUGCUCGCCUAUAUGUGCUGCUUUGUUGCCUACAGAAGUAAUUGCUGAUAAGCACAGCAAAGUUUUCUACAGCAGGGGAAGAAACAAGGCAGCCCUCCCAAGAAACUUCAUCAGAAGAUGGCAAACUACCUCCAGGAAAGUGUCCUAGAGAUCUCUGUGGAGGAUUCCUGGGACAUCCUGAACUCAAGCUGCGUGGACAAGCUUUCUUGCAUGGAGCACCUUCAGGGGCAUGAGAAGGCCGUUAACCCAGUCUUUGUAUCAUGAUGUUUCAAAAUGGCCCAUUUGGUCUUCAUAGUUCUUCUUGAUGGGUGAAAGAACCACUCCUCCUGCUUGGGUUCACAAGUUCAGAGCAGCGAUUUUUACACUUACAAAGCAAAACUUACAUAUUUCCUUAUAGCAUGGGAUACAGACAUUACAAAUGAGAUUAAUUCAUGCAGCAAUUUACAAGCAUUUUAUAGUCUAAGCACUAAACACAUUCUUACAAUUCUAACACCAAUCUUGAACAAUACAAACAUAGAAGUGAGCUGACCUGCUUUCUAGCUAUGAAUUUGUCAGGGCUCAGCUGACACCUACAGCCUUGGCAAGAGCUAGCAUCUGGUCUACCAGCAUAACAGAUGCUACAAUGUUAUAACACUUAUUUGAUAACAGGAGGUCCCCUUGGAUAUCAUGUUGAAGCUGUCAUUGUUUUCCUUUAUAAAAUAUA